rnacentral:snRNA from 24 species
AUCCUUAUGCAAGGGAAAUACGCAUAUCAGUGAGGAUUCGUCCGAGAUUGUGUUUUUGCUGGUUGAAAUUUAAUUAAACCAGACCUGCUCCUCAUUGUCGCCAGUUAGAUGUUCGCUUCAUGAACAUCUCAGAUAAUGUAGGGAAUUUUUGGAAUACUUUUAUUUUCUAAUCAUGAAUUUUCCCAUCAAGAUAACCGAUGAGAGAAGGAGU